AAGGAAGGAAGGAAGGAAGGAAGGAAGGAAGGAAGGAAGGAAGGAAGGAAGGAUUUCAACUGAGAAAGAAAAAUCUGUUCUGGUCAUCUGUUCAUGUUUGACAAAUCAUCACAAAACCUGGAGAUGAGAAAAAAAGAAGUACAGAAACAUUGAGCAACUUGUCAAAAGUCACUCAGCUGGCAGGAAUUAUGAAAAUGGAGAAAGACGCCAUUUCCCUCAGACCCACAGUGUCACCCAGCUGCUGCUAGGUGGACCUUGAGCUCAGGAAGCAAAGAUCAUACCCACCUUCCUCAC